rnacentral:rRNA from 1 species
GAUGAACGCUGGCGGCGUGCCUAAUACAUGCAAGUCGAGCGAAUGGAUUAAGAGCUUGCUCUUAUGAAGUUAGCGGCGGACGGGUGAGUAACACGUGGGUAACCUGCCCAUAAGACUGGGAUAACUCCGGGAAACCGGGGCUAAUACCGGAUAACAUUUUGAACCGCAUGGUUCGAAAUUGAAAGGCGGCUUCGGCUGUCACUUAUGGAUGGACCCGCGUCGCAUUAGCUAGUUGGUGAGGUAACGGCUCGCCAAGGCAACGAUGCGUAGCCGAACGGAGAGGGUGAUCGGCCACAGUGGGACUGAGACACGGCCCAGACUCCUACGGGAGGGAGCGGUGGGGAAUCUUCCGCAAUGGACGAAAGUCUGACGGAGCAACGCCGCGUGAGUGAUGGAGGCUUUCGGGUCGUAAAACUCUGUUGUUAGGGAAGAACAAGUGCUAGUUGAAUAAGCUGGCACCUUGACGGUACCUAACCAGAAAGCCACGGCUAACUACGUGCCAGCCGCCGCGGUAA